rnacentral:lncRNA from 1 species
CUUGGCCACAGCUGCCUGCUUGUACGUGGCAUUUGGAGCUGAAGCUGUGCCUCAGCAUUUGACGCUGUCCCACAUGUUCCUGGCUUUGAAAGAAGAGAAAGGGAAAGCAGGAGGUGGAAAGAUGCCUGCUCUAAAAAUAUAGAAUAUGGCUCCAGAUCUCUGUUCUGAGAACAGCUGGUCACGUUCAAAGUGAAUGCCUAAAGAAAAUAGCAAAUUUGAGAAGAAAUGUGGAUUCCUGAAUUUUGGCAAGUGAAAGGCUGGCCAGAGUUUCAGGAGGAGCUCUGGAUUUAGUUGUUACUGAUCGGCAGCCUGGAGAGCUGCGUGAUGGUCCCGAUGAUGCAUUGUGCGAGGAGUUUGUAUUCGCUGGCUCGCGGUGCUCCUGCUGCCCUGUAGCCACCGCCUCCGGGGCCAGAUUCUCACCUCGGUGUCCUGAACCACCUCUCCCCGGAGCCGACAUGGCUACACCAGGUUACGCCGGCUGAGGGUAUGAUCUUGCCUGCAAACUGCACCAGCCAUUUAAGCCAAGAAAUCACCAGUGUUGUUUCCGACUGGGUGGUCAAAAUGUGGGGUGUAAGACAGCCAAAGUGCCCCAGGGACUGGACUUUUCCUGACUUCACCACCAUCAGGCAUCCUGGAAGAAGAAGUCGUUUGGCUCAGUGGUGGGCAGGAUUAUUGGGGCUGAGCAUCAGUCCAGAAGAAGGUGAGCAUCAGUCCAGAAGAAGCGCCUCAGGAGGUCAGACUGAAGGUAACACAGCGGCGCUACUGCCAGCUCCCAGCGUACUUGUGUGCAGUUAUCUCCUACUCCGUUGA